AGCGAACGCUGGCGGCAGGCCUAACACAUGCAAGUCGAACGACGCCUUCGGGCUUAGUGGCGGACGGGUGAGUAACACGUGGGAACGUACCUUUUGGUUCGGAACAACUCAGGGAAACUUGAGCUAAUACCGGAUGAGCCCUUAGGGGGAAAGAUUUAUCGCCGAAAGAGCGGCCCGCGUUAGAUUAGCUAGUUGGUGAGGUAAAGGCUCACCAAGGCAACGAUCCAUAGCUGGUCUGAGAGGAUGAUCAGCCACACUGGGACUGAGACACGGCCCAGACUCCUACGGGAGGCAGCAGUGGGGAAUCUUGCGCAAUGGGCGAAAGCCUGACGCAGCCAUGCCGCGUGAAUGAUGAAGGUCUUAGGAUUGUAAAAUUCUUUUACCAGGGACGAUAAUGACGGUACCUGGAGAAAAAGCCCCGGCUAACUUCGUGCCAGCCGCCGCCGUAACAC
rnacentral:rRNA from 1 species